rnacentral:lncRNA from 1 species
AGUGGGUGCAAAAUUUGGUUUCUCCAGAAGUAAUAUUGUUAUUUUCAAACAUGCUUCCUUGCAAUUUGCAGUUGCUUAGUUGUUAUUUUAGGAAGUUAAAGAAAGAACUUGCUUGAAGUUGAGGGGAGUUCAGGGAAAAUUUGACAGAAGAGAAUGACAUAGUUACUCGGGAGCUGGAGUUCAGAUGUAUGCUUACGGAGGAAGAAGACCUGGGUAGCCUGUUGGAUCCACUGGCUGACAUUAGGGUAUCUGAGGAGGAGGAUCACAUGAGGGGUAAACACAAUCAGUUUUCAGUUAAUAGCUUCUACCCUUAACUUCAGCAAAGUGGGUAUGGUGGCCCCUUAUACCUGAGAAAAUCAAGGUGUUCUGUUGGAACAAGAUUUUCAUGGAUUCUAAUCUGAGAAAACAUAGUUGAAUAGGGUCAUUAGUCUGCAGUUUUUGUGGUAAGCGUGAGGAAACUGGAAAGCAUUUUCUGCUCCA